GGCCAGGUGGCGGAGUGGUUAACGCGGUAGACUCGAAUUAAAUCGCUAUCUACUUCCUUCGGGAGCGUCUGUUCGAAUCAGGCCCUGGUCG